rnacentral:rRNA from 1 species
UCGUAAAGCUCUGUUNNUAAAGAAGAACGUGGGUAGAGNACUGUUUACCCAGUGACGGUAUUUAACCCAGAAANCNACGGCUACUACGUGCCAGCAGCCGCGGUAAUACGUAGGUGGCAAGCGUUAUCCGGGAUUUAUUGGGCGUAAAGCGAGCGCAGGCGGUCUUUUAAGUCUAAUGUGAAAGCNUUCGGCUCAACCGAAGAAGUGCAUUGGAAACUGGGAGACUUGAGUGCAGAAGAGGACAGUGGAACUCCAUGUGUAGCGGUGAAAUGCGUAGAUAUAUGGAAGAACACCAGUGGCGAAGGCGGCUGUCUGGUCUGCAACUGACGCUGAGGCUCGAAAGCAUGGGUAGCGAACAGGAUUAGAUACCCUGGUAGUCCAUGCCGUAAACGAUGAUUACUAAGUGUUGGAGGGUUUCCGCCCUUCAGUGCUGCAGCUAACGCAUUAAGUAAUCCGCCUGGGGAGUACGACCGCAAGGUUGAAACUCAAAAGAAUUGACGGGGGCCCGCACAAGCGGUGGAGCAUGUGGUUUAAUUCGAAGCUACGCGAAGAACCUUACCAGGUCUUGACAUCUUCUGACAGUCUAAGAGAUUAGAGGUUCCCUUCGGGGACAGAAUGACAG